rnacentral:rRNA from 1 species
UACAGAGGGUGCGAGCGUUGUCCGGAAUCACUGGGCGUAAAGGGCGCGUAGGCGGCUUGAUAAGGUUGCGGUGAAAGCCCGGGGCUCAACCCCGGGUCGGCCGUGGCAACUGUCGAUCUGGAGCACUGUAGAGGCAGGUGGAAUUCCGGGUGUAGCGGUGGAAUGCGUAGAGAUCCGGAAGAACACCGGUGGCGAAGGCGGCCUGCUGGGCAGUGGCUGACGCUGAGGCGCGACAGCGUGGGGAGCAAACAGG